UCGUCCCCCUCUCUAGCUCCUUUCUCUUCUUCCUCCUUUGUGCCGCCCAAUAUUCUACUCUCCAUUAUUGCCACCAUCUCCUUGGCCAUUUGGUUGCCAAUUUUUCCACUAUCCACUUUUGAACCUCAUUGUUGUCAUCUCUACUCUCUUCUUUUUCUUCCUCUAUCGUCGCCGUGGUGAGCAACCACCAUUCUUGUCACUGUCGUCCAUUGUUCCUUCUUCUUUUCCUUUCCCUUGUCACAUUUUAUUGUUGUUGAAAUCUCGUUAUAAGCCCUAGGUCAAAUCUCUUUUUAGCACUCGUUGGUGAGUACUCAUCUUUUCUAUGUUAACUACAGAUCCAUAACGGAAAGUGUAAGUAACUUUUUAUGUAAUUAGAUCUAAGAUAUUUUCUUAUUUUUCUCAUUUUGAGAUAGUUAGGUCUCACCUAUUUAAUUCUAUUUAUAUUUGAUUGGUUCUAAAUCUAGAUCCAAACCCCUUAGAUCAACAAUAACUUUGAUGAGUAUUCGCAACUCCGUUAGAAGCCAAAUAGGGUAAGUGUUAAGUUACGACUUCAUAUCUGAAAUUUUGGUUAAAAUUGCUGCUUUGGUCGAACCCUAUAUGAGUGUUAGGGGGAUGAUUUUUAAUGAUUAAACCUUGUUGGGUACAG
rnacentral:lncRNA from 1 species